AGGAAUUAGUAGAAUUAUCGGAAUCCGUUGGCGUUGAAAACCGAGGAAUAUCAGCAUCUCUCAUUGCAGAGUUACCAACUUCCAGGUACAAGUCUGGUGGAUUCUUCUCAAAGUGCAAGAAAAAGGAGAAAUGUGUGGUAUGUCAAAUGGAUUUUCACUCUGGCGAACAGUUGAUCACGUUGCCUUGUUUGCACCGAUAUCAUUCAAAAUGCAUCACUGACUGGUUGCUGCUUAAGAAGAAUUGCCCAAUCUGUCAAAAUGAAGUGGUUUAAGUAAGCCUUAAAGAACUUGAAGCAAAGAGGAAGCUUUUCAUGGAAAAGAUACAACAAAACUGAUUUAUAGAUAUAUGCAUAUAUAUUAUAAUGUCUAUAGACAUAAGUUGUUUAUCAUAAUAGUUGCUAUCUUGAUUUCUGAUGGUAGUUUUUCAUUGUUAG